rnacentral:tRNA from 1 species
GCGGUGGUAGCUUAGUGGUUAAAGAGCUGGGCUAGCAUGCAGUAGUCUGAAAAGUUGUGGGUUCAAUUCCCGGCUUCCACC